rnacentral:tRNA from 1 species
GCUCAGAAAUGGCGUUUUCGCUGAUUUGUAAUCAGCAGGUCGUCGGUUCGAAUCCGACCGUCAGCUCCA